rnacentral:rRNA from 1 species
UACGUAGGGGGCUAGCGUUGUUCGGAAUUACUGGGCGUAAAGGGCUCGUAGGCGGCCAACUAAGUCAGACGUGAAAUCCCCAGGCUCAACCUGGGAACUGCGUCUGAUACUGGAUGGCUUGAAUCCGGGAGAGGGAUGCAGAAUUCCAGGUGUAGCGGUGAAAUGCGUAGAUAUCUGGAGGAAUACCGGUGGCGAAGGCGGCAUCCUGGACCGGCAUUGACGCUGAGGAGCGAAAGCUAGGGGAGCAAACGGG